rnacentral:rRNA from 1 species
UGCAGUCGAGCGGAACGAGUUAUCUGAACCUUCGGGGAACGAUAACGGCGUCGAGCGGCGGACGGGUGAGUAAUGCCUGGGAAAUUGCCCUGAUGUGGGGGAUAACUAUUGGAAACGAUAGCUAAUACCGCAUAACGUCUACGGACCAAAGAGGGGGACCUUCGGGCCUCUCGCUUCAGGAUAUGCCCAGGUGGGAUUAGCUAGUUGGUGAGGUAAUGGCUCACCAAGGCGACGAUCCCUAGCUGGUCUGAGAGGAUGAUCAGCCACACUGGAACUGAGACACGGUCCAGACUCCUACGGGAGGCAGCAGUGGGGAAUAUUGCACAAUGGGCGCAAGCCUGAUGCAGCCAUGCCGCGUGUAUGAAGAAGGCCUUCGGGUUGUAAAGUACUUUCAGUCGUGAGGAAGGCGUUAAAGUUAAUAGCUUUAUCGUUUGACGUUAGCGACAGAAGAAGCACCGGCUAACUCCGUGCCAGCAGCCGCGGUAAUACGGAGGGUGCGAGCGUUAAUCGGAAUUACUGGGCGUAAAGCGCAUGCAGGUGGUUUGUUAAGUCAGAUGUGAAAGCCCGGGGCUCAACCUCGGAACCGCAUUUGAAACUGGCAGGCUAGAGUACUGUAGAGGGGGGUAGAAUUUCAGGUGUAGCGGUGAAAUGCGUAGAGAUCUGAAGGAAUACCAGUGGCGAAGGCGGCCCCCUGGACAGAUACUGACACUCAGAUGCGAAAGCG